CGUAAACUGAGGUUGAUAUUUGAAUUGUUGUGAUAGAUACAACGUCAGGUGGAUGUGUUAGUUUAUUAGAUCUGUUUGUGCUGCUAUGAUCAUGGCUGGAGUUGUGAUGAUGAUGUUAAUCUUCGGUGUAGUUACGGGAUUGUAAUCUUGUCUCUUCAGUUCCAUCGGCCGUCAGGGGUCUAAACUGUGAGUAUUCGUGGACAAACAAGGCUGAGAUUCUUGGGUUCAUCCAAAUGUUGUGCAGUCUAUGUAUCAAUUUGAGGUCCAAGUAAAUGAAAGAAGUCCAAAAAUCAUCUAUGAAACAUGGUAUCAGAUUGCUGACGUGCUGUCAGUUGGGUAUUUUGACAUCAGCAUUACAUCACAUUACGGAUGCAGGAGAAGUGAGCCGAUGUCAAUCCGGUGUAAAACCAAAUUAAAAGGGGUCAUUGUGGGAUCUGUGGCUGCUGUGGCUGUCUAUUCAUAAUAUGUGUGCUGAGUUGCCGUGAAGUCUUCAUCAGGCUCAGAUCUUUCAAAAGGUUU